GCAGAGUGGAGACGUGCUGGAAUUCAGAGUUCACCACAGCGUGUCAAGGGGAAGGGAAGUUGGGAACAGCAUGUGUGAUCAGGACCUAAGGACUUCUGCCCCAGUUCAUUCAAGGGCACAGCUGAGUGCAGUUUGAAAAGGCAGAAAGAGCUGGGCACAGGUAACUGAGCAACAAUGAAUGGUCAAAUUCAUGAGCAAAAUUAGAUUUCCCCAGGAAGCCUGAUGUCUUGUUUCUGGGGAUCUAAUUCAGAAAAAGGGAGAGAAAACGGCCUCCUUGGUGUGCCCCAGAGGACCUGAUGGAGCUAACAGUGGGGCUGGGGCCGGAAGCGGGAUGCAGACCUGGGCCCCAACAAGGAUGAUGCUGGUAUGACUCAGUCUGCUGAGGUCAGGUCCUGGCAAGACAGGUUCCGGUGAGUGAAUGAACCGAUGGCAGUAGUAGAUUGCUUUAUGUAAGAAAAUGCAGGCAGGAAAAAGAUUUAAGAGGUGGUGGAAGAGGGUAGGAUUUGAGCAGCGGCUGGAAGGAGAAAGAGAUUCUAAGGAUAAUUUUAAGGAAGUACUGCUGUGUUCCAAGCCCUGUAGUGAAAUCCCUCCUUGGCAUCCUCAAUUAGCCACCAACAAAUGCCAAGGCUAUUGAGAAGACUCAGCCCAUUGGAGGCAUAGACAUG
rnacentral:lncRNA from 1 species